GCUCACUUCAGGCAGCAUGUACACUAAAAUUGGAACAGUACAGUAAGAUUAACAUGGCUCUUGGGCAAGGAUGACAUACAAAUCCAUGAAACACUCCAUAUUUUU
rfam:Tupaia chinensis contig212641, whole genome shotgun sequence.